GUCACUGUCUGCAAGUGUUCAGACUGAACAACUGGAACAACUCUGAAGAUCUGGGAAACUACAGCAGCUACAUUCACUACUGCGAGUACUGCAGUACAAACCUGAGAUGAUUUUCAACAUCUCUGUUAUUGCUGGGUUUAUGCAUAUCUGAAUAGUCUGCUGGAUGGAGAUGAUGGUACAGAACCUGGAUCAUAACUGUGCCGGUGAAGCUGAAGAGGACCUGGAAAGAACAACCCCAAACAUGCAGCACACUAUGAAACAUCCAGCUGUGCAAGAUGAGCAGAAACACCACAGCAGGAAAACUCUGACAUGAAGUUUGAGUGUUCCAGCAGGACAGAGACUCAAAAUCAUAGCCACAGGUGAAAUAUUUUCCAGGCCACAAACGCAAGUCCACGUACAUUAAACUCACCACGAUCUUAAAGAAACCUUUUAUUCAACAACACCUGUGUGAGCAUAUUUAGGGUCAAACAUCUGCAUCCACAAACACAUGGCAGGAAACGUGUGCAGCCUUUCUUUAUGACAGUAUAACGCACUCUAAAUGAGUAUGAAUUUAACUGCAUCAGAUUCAUUGUAAGGUGUUUACAGUUUUCUGUUUGUUUUUGUUUUUUGUUUUUAAUUUUUAUGGGCGCUCUCAGGAUUUUAUUUUUAUUGCAUAAAUAAACUGAACAUUGAGCUGCUUUGAGUUUAGGGACUGGUUCUUAUACAGUGCUUUUCUACUCUGAGCACUCAAAGCACUUUACACAACUUUGGCCUCUUUCACACAUUCAGACUCUGUUGGAUGCAGCUUGGUUUUGGUCUUGUCCGAGGAUAUAUGUCAUGCAGACGGGAGCAGACGGGGAUGGAACCUAAACCUUCUGUUUAAUGUUUGCAGUUUUUUACUUCAGCUCUUUUAUCCUUGUGUUGUUUCCUGUGAUGUGCACUCUGUCUACUUUGUCACUUUGAGGCUGUAAAUCUAAUAAAAAAUUAUCUUUGUGUUUUGUUUGCCUGUUUUUAGGUCCUCUAAAUCACUGUGGUCAGUUGUGCUGUACAGACUAUGCAUGCAUGUACCUGUGUUAAAAAUACUCUGUAUACUCUGCUGACUGCUUCAGUAUGAAAAGCAGUGAUGGAUGUUCCAACAAGAUCAUCUUCUGUGUUUUUGUUCCUCCUGCGAGUCACGUACAAUGUUUGUGUCACGAUCCUGGGUCUUAGGACCCAGUGUUUUGAGUUCUAGUUCAUUUUGAUGUUUAUAGUAUGUUUAGCUCAUUAGGCCUCCUAUGUUGAUUUGCUUAUUAGUUCCCCCUUGUGUUUCAACCCAUGUUAAGUCUCCCCUGCCCUUCAUGUCUCUCUGUGCCCCCUCUGUUCUGUUUAUGGUGUGUCUUUGCAUGUUUGAGUUUCUUGUUUUCUGUCACCCUGCAUUGUGCAUUAUGUUCUCAUGGUUGGUCUUUUGUUACUCCCUCUAGUCUAGUCUCUUGUGUUCAAAGCUGAGUAUUUCCCUCUGUGUAUUUUGGUUCUUAGACCUCUGCCUUAUGGUUUGUCUCUGUUUCUUAGUUGCUGUCUCCACUGUGUCUAGUUCGCG
ensembl:lncRNA